CGGGGGGCAGCAGUCGAGAAUCUUUCACAAUGGGGGCAACCCUGAUGGAGCGACGCCGCGUGGAGGAUAAGGUCUUCGGAUUGUAAACUCCUGUCAUGCGAGAGCAAAGCCUGCAAAGGUCUGAUAGUAUCGCAAGAGGAAGAGACGGCUAACUCUGUGCCAGCAGCCGCGGUAAUACAGAGGUCUCAAGCGUUGUUCGGAAUCACUGGGCGUAAAGGGUGCGUAGGCGGUGCGGAAAGUCAGAUGUGAAAUCCGGAGGCUUAACCUCCGAAUUGCAUCCGAUACUACCGCGCUAGAGAACUGAAGGGGAGUCUGGAAUUCUCGGUGUAGCAGUGAAAUGCGUAGAUAUCGAGAGGAACACUAGUGGCGAAGGCGAGACUCUGGGCAGUAUCUGACGCUGAGGCACGAAGGCCAGGGGAGCAAACGGGAUUAGAUACCCGGGU
rnacentral:rRNA from 1 species